rfam:Halanaeroarchaeum sulfurireducens strain HSR2, complete genome.
AGUCCCGUGGUGUAGUGGCCAAUCAUAGCGGCCUUUGGAGCCGCUGACGGCGGUUCGAAUCCGCCCGGGACUA